rnacentral:piRNA from 1 species
CCAAUGGUUAUCGAGCCCAGGGAUGAGA